rnacentral:rRNA from 1 species
UUCGCAAUGCCCGAAAGGGUGACGAAGCGACGCCGCGUGGGUGAGGAAGGCCUUCGGGUUGUAAAGCCCUGUCAGGAGUUAUGAAGUGUAGGUGCGCUAAUAUCGUGCUUAUUUGACAAAGGCUCCAAAGGAAGCCACGGCUAACUCUGUGCCAGCAGCCGCGGUAAUACAGAGGUGGCGAGCGUUGUUCGGAAUUAUUGGGCGUAAAGAGCACGUAGGUGGGUUUGCAAGUCAGAUGUGAAAGCCUUCUGUUCAACGGAAGAAUUGCAUCUGAAACUGCCAAUCUUGAGUGUAGGAGGGGAGAAUGGAACUUCUGGUGGAGCGGUGAAAUGCGUAGAUAUCAGAAGGAACGCCGGCGGCGAAAGCGAUUCUCUGGCCUAUUACUGACACUCAGUGUGCGAAAGCUAGGGGAGCAAACGGGAUUAGAUACCCCGGUAGUCCUAGCCGUAAACGAUGGGCACUAAGUAGAGGGGUUUU